CCUACGGGAGGCAGCAGUGAGGAAUAUUGGUCAAUGGCCGAGAGGCUGAACCAGCCAAGUCGCGUGAGGGAUGACGGCCCUACGGGUUGUAAACCUCUUUUGUCGGGGAGCAAAGAGAGUCACGUGUGGCUCAUUGAGAGUACCCGAAGAAAAAGCAUCGGCUAACUCCGUGCCAGCAGCCGCGGUACUACGGAGGAUGCGAGCGUUAUCCGGAUUUAUUGGGUUUAAAGGGUGCGCAGGCGGAGGUGCAAGUCAGUGGUAAAAUUGCGGGGCUCAACCCCGUACUGCCGUUGAAACGGCAUCCCUUGAGUGCGCGAGAAGUAUGCGGAAUGCGUGGUGUAGCGGUGAAAUGCAUAGAUAUUAGGAGGAACACCAGUGGCGAAGGCGAUUUGCUGGACUGUAACUGACACUGAGGCACGAAAGCGUGGGGAGCAAACAGGAUUAGAUACCCCAGUAGUC
rnacentral:rRNA from 1 species